AAUCAACCGAGAUUCCCCCAGUAGCGGCGAGCGAACGGGGAGGAGCCCAGAGCCUGAAUCAGUGUGUGUGUUAGUGGAAGCGUCUGGAAAGGCGCGCGAUACAGGGUGACAGCCCCGUACACAAAAAUGCACAUAUUGUGAGCUCGAUGAGUAGGGCGGGACACGUGGUAUCCUGUCUGAAUAUGGGGGGACCAUCCUCCAAGGCUAAAUACUCCUGACUGACCGAUAGUGAACCAGUACCGUGAGGGAAAGGCGAAAAGAACCCCGGCGAGGGGAGUGAAAAAGAACCUGAAACCGUGUACGUACAAGCAGUGGGAGCCUCUUUAUGGGGUGACUGCGUACCUUUUGUAUAAUGGGUCAGCGACUUAUAUUCUGUAGCAAGGUUAACCGAAUAGGGGAGCCGAAGGGAAACCGAGUCUUAACUGGGCGUUAAGUUGCAGGGUAUAGACCCGAAACCCGGUGAUCUAGCCAUGGGCAGGUUGAAGGUUGGGUAACACUAACUGGAGGACCGAACCGACUAAUGUUGAAAAAUUAGCGGAUGACUUGUGGCUGGGGGUGAAAGGCCAAUCAAACCGGGAGAUAGCUGGUUCUCCCCGAAAGCUAUUUAGGUAGCGCCUCGUGAAUUCAUCUCCGGGGGUAGAGCACUGUUUCGGCAAGGGGGUCAUCCCGACUUACCAACCCGAUGCAAACUGCGAAUACCGGAGAAUGUUAUCACGGGAGACACACGGCGGGUGCUAACGUCCGUCGUGAAGAGGGAAACAACCCAGACCGCCAGCUAAGGUCCCAAAGUCAUGGUUAAGUGGGAAACGAUGUGGGAAGGCCCAGACAGCCAGGAUGUUGGCUUAGAAGCAGCCAUCAUUUAAAGAAAGCGUAAUAGCUCACUGGUCGAGUCGGCCUGCGCGGAAGAUGUAACGGGGCUAAACCAUGCACCGAAGCUGCGGCAGCGACACUAUGUGUUGUUGGGUAGGGGAGCGUUCUGUAAGCCUGUGAAGGUGGCCUGUGAGGGUUGCUGGAGGUAUCAGAAGUGCGAAUGCUGACAUAAGUAACGAUAAAGCGGGUGAAAAGCCCGCUCGCCGGAAGACCAAGGGUUCCUGUCCAACGUUAAUCGGGGCAGGGUGAGUCGACCCCUAAGGCGAGGCCGAAAGGCGUAGUCGAUGGGAAACAGGUUAAUAUUCCUGUACUUGGUGUUACUGCGAAGGGGGGACGGAGAAGGCUAUGUUGGCCGGGCGACGGUUGUCCCGGUUUAAGCGUGUAGGCUGGUUUUCCAGGCAAAUCCGGAAAACCAAGGCUGAGGCGUGAUGACGAGGCACUACGGUGCUGAAGCGACAAAUGCCCUGCUUCCAGGAAAAGCCUCUAAGCAUCAGGUAACAUCAAAUCGUACCCCAAACCGACACAGGUGGUCAGGUAGAGAAUACCAAGGCGCUUGAGAGAACUCGGGUGAAGGAACUAGGCAAAAUGGUGCCGUAACUUCGGGAGAAGGCACGCUGAUAUGUAGGUGAAGCGACUUGCUCGUGGAGCUGAAAUCAGUCGAAGAUACCAGCUGGCUGCAACUGUUUAUUAAAAACACAGCACUGUGCAAACACGAAAGUGGACGUAUACGGUGUGACGCCUGCCCGGUGCCGGAAGGUUAAUUGAUGGGGUUAGCGGUAACGCGAAGCUCUUGAUCGAAGCCCCGGUAAACGGCGGCCGUAACUAUAACGGUCCUAAGGUAGCGAAAUUCCUUGUCGGGUAAGUUCCGACCUGCACGAAUGGCGUAAUGAUGGCCAGGCUGUCUCCACCCGAGACUCAGUGAAAUUGAACUCGCUGUGAAGAUGCAGUGUACCCGCGGCAAGACGGAAAGACCCCGUGAACCUUUACUAUAGCUUGACACUGAACAUUGAGCCUUGAUGUGUAGGAUAGGUGGGAGGCUUUGAAGUGUGGACGCCAGUCUGCAUGGAGCCGACCUUGAAAUACCACCCUUUAAUGUUUGAUGUUCUAACGUUGGCCCGUAAUCCGGGUUGCGGACAGUGUCUGGUGGGUAGUUUGACUGGGGCGGUCUCCUCCUAAAGAGUAACGGAGGAGCACGAAGGUUGGCUAAUCCUGGUCGGACAUCAGGAGGUUAGUGCAAUGGCAUAAGCCAGCUUGACUGCGAGCGUGACGGCGCGAGCAGGUGCGAAAGCAGGUCAUAGUGAUCCGGUGGUUCUGAAUGGAAGGGCCAUCGCUCAACGGAUAAAAGGUACUCCGGGGAUAACAGGCUGAUACCGCCCAAGAGUUCAUAUCGACGGCGGUGUUUGGCACCUCGAUGUCGGCUCAUCACAUCCUGGGGCUGAAGUAGGUCCCAAGGGUAUGGCUGUUCGCCAUUUAAAGUGGUACGCGAGCUGGGUUUAGAACGUCGUGAGACAGUUCGGUCCCUAUCUGCCGUGGGCGCUGGAGAACUGAGGGGGGCUGCUCCUAGUACGAGAGGACCGGAGUGGACGCAUCACUGGUGUUCGGGUUGUCAUGCCAAUGGCACUGCCCGGUAGCUAA
rnacentral:rRNA from 1 species